rnacentral:rRNA from 1 species
CUACGGGAGGCAGCAGUGAGGAAUAUUGGACAAUGGGCGCAAGCCUGAUCCAGCCAUGCCGCGUGCAGGAUGACGGUCCUAUGGAUUGUAAACUGCUUUUGCACAGGAAGAAACACCCCCUCGUGAGGGGACUUGACGGUACUGUGAGAAUAAGGAUCGGCUAACUCCGUGCCAGCAGCCGCGGUAAUACGGAGGAUCCAAGCGUUAUCCGGAAUCAUUGGGUUUAAAGGGUCCGUAGGCGGCUUUAUAAGUCAGUGGUGAAAUCUCCCCGCUCAACGGGGAAACGGCCAUUGAUACUGUAAGGCUUGAAUUAUUAGGAAGUAACUAGAAUAUGUAGUGUAGCGGUGAAAUGCUUAGAGAUUACAUGGAAUACCAAUUGCGAAGGCAGGUUACUACUAAUGGAUUGACGCUGAUGGACGAAAGCGUGGGUAGCGAACAGGAUUAGAUACCCUUGUAGUCGU